rnacentral:rRNA from 1 species
UACGUAGGGUCCAAGCGUUGUCCGGAUUUAUUGGGCGUAAAGAGCUCGUAGGCGGUGUGUCGCGUCGGCCGUGAAAACCUGCAGCUUAACUGUGGGCUUGCGGUCGAUACGGGCAUCACUGGAGUUCGGCAGGGGAGACUGGAAUUCCUGGUGUAGCGGUGAAAUGCGCAGAUAUCAGGAGGAACACCGGUGGCGAAGGCGGGUCUCUGGGCCGAUACUGACGCUGAGGAGCGAAAGCGUGGGGAGCGAACAGG